rnacentral:lncRNA from 10 species
GCUUUUUUCUUUCAACCUUUGACCUGUUCUUUUACCACCUAUUUCUUAGAUUCCUCCUCCCUAUUUUUUUUAAUCUGUUGAUGUUCCAGUGGAUUCUGUCUCUCUUCUUCAUUUUUCUUUUUCUUUUUUCUACUAACCUUUAUUUUAUUCUUUACUAGGAUUUCAACUUCUUGGAGUCAUCAUUAUGAUGACUUUUUACAUUUUAUUUUUAUUUUUUGCAGCAAGUAUAGUGUAAUGGUUAAGAACACAGACUCAGGACUCAAACUAUCAGGUUUAUCUUGUGGCUGUAUUACUUCCUAGCCAGCAAUAACCAUGGAA